rnacentral:rRNA from 1 species
UUGAACGCUGGCGGCAGGCCUAACACAUGCAAGUCGAGCGGAUGAAGGGAGCUUGCUCCUGGAUUCAGCGGCGGACGGGUGAGUAAUGCCUAGGAAUCUGCCUGGUAGUGGGGGAUAACGUCCGGAAACGGGCGCUAAUACCGCAUACGUCCUGAGGGAGAAAGUGGGGGAUCUUCGGACCUCACGCUAUCAGAUGAGCCUAGGUCGGAUUAGCUAGUUGGUGGGGUAAAGGCCUACCAAGGCGACGAUCCGUAACUGGUCUGAGAGGAUGAUCAGUCACGCUGGAAUGGGAAAAGGGUCCAGCCUCCGAGGGGGGGCAGGAGGGGGAAAUGUUGGAAAGUGGGCGAAGGCCUGAUCAGCCCAUGCGGGGGUGGGGAAGAAGGUCUUGGGAUUUUAAAGCAUUUUAAGUUGGGGGGAAGGGAAUAAAUUUAAUCCCUUGUUUUUUGGCCUUUACCAAAAAAAAAACCACCGGCUAACUUCG